rnacentral:rRNA from 1 species
UACGGGGGGGAGCAAGCGUUGUUCGGAUUUACUGGGCGUAAAGGGCGCGUAGGCGGUCGUGACAAGUCACUUGUGAAAUCUCCGGGCUUAACUCGGAACGGUCAAGUGAUACUGUCGGACUAGAGUACAGAAGGGGCAACUGGAAUUCUCGGUGUAGCGGUGAAAUGCGUAGAUAUCGAGAGGAACACCUGCGGCGAAGGCGGGUUGCUGGGCUAUAACUGACGCUCAUGCACGAAAGCGUGGGGAGCAAACAGG